rnacentral:rRNA from 1 species
AGUGAACGCUGGCGGUAGGCCUAACACAUGCAAGUCGAACGGCAGCACAGUAAGAGCUUGCUCUUACGGGUGGCGAGUGGCGGACGGGUGAGGAAUACAUCGGAAUCUACUUUUUCGUGGGGGAUAACGUAGGGAAACUUACGCUAAUACUGCAUACGACCUACGGGUGAAAGCAGGGGAUCUUCGGACCUUGCGUGAUUGAAUGAGACGAUGUCGGAUUAGCUAGUUGGCGGGGUAAAGGCCCACCAAGGCGACGAUCCGUAGGUGGUCUGAGAGGAGGAGCCCCAACACUGGUACUGAGACACGGACCAGACUCAUACGGGAGGAAGGAGUGAGGAAUAUUGGACAAUGGGUUAGAGCCUGAUCCAGCCAUCGCGGGGGAAGGACGACGGCCGUAUGGGUUGUAAACUUCUUUGGUAUAGGGAUAAAACUACUCUCGUGAGAGUAGCUGAAGGGACUAUAAGAAUAAGGACCGGCUAACUCCGUG